UACAGAGGUGGCAAGCGUUGUUCGGAAUUACUGGGCGUAAAGGGCGCGUAGGCGGCCUACUAAGUCAGACGUGAAGUCCCCCGGCUUAACCUGGGAACUGCGUCUGAUACUGGAAGGCUUGAGGAUGGGAGAGGGAUGUAGAAUUCCAGGUGUAGCGGUGAAAUGCGUAGAUAUCUGGAGGAAUACCGGUGGCGAAGGCGGCAUCCUGGACCGAGAUUGACGCUGAGGCGCGAAAGCCAGGGGAGCAAACGGG
rnacentral:rRNA from 1 species